UAAGGUUCGCACCGUCGCUGCCAAAUCAGCGGCCGGGUUUGGUCACCCGGAAA
rnacentral:ncRNA from 1 species